rnacentral:rRNA from 1 species
GACGAACGCUGGCGGCGUGCUUAACACAUGCAAGUCGAGCGAUGAAGUUUCUUCGGAAAUGGAUUAGCGGCGAACGGGUGAGGAACACGUGAAGAAUCUGCCCUCCACUUUGGGAUAACACAGGGAAACCUGUGCUAAUACCGAAUAUUGAAACAUAAGUGGCAUCACUGAGUUUUGAAAGAACUUCGGUGGAGGAUGACUUCGCGGCCUAUCAGCUAGUUGGUGAGGUAAUGGCUCACCAAGGCAACGACGGGUAGCCGGCCUGAGAGGGCGACCGGCCACACUGGGGCUGCGACACGGCCCGGACUCCUACGGGAGGCAGCAGUGGGGAAUAUUGGGCAAUGGAGGAAACUCUGACCCAGCGACGCCGCGUGCGGGAUGAAGGCCUUCGGGUUGUAAACCGCUUUCAGUAGGGAAGAAGCGAAAGUGACGGUACCUACAAAAGAAGCACCGGCUAACUAUGUGCCAGCCGCCGCGGUAA